AUCUGAAAAAAAUUUACUAAAUUAAGAGGCACUGACUACUAUUGACAUCUAUUAUUUGUGAUAUAUAUUGCUCAAAACAAUACAUUUGUACAACAUCUAUAACGAGUUCACAAGAAUAGUAACUAUGAUGCAAGACAAAACAUAUGUAAUAGCAUGCAGCGUUAUAUCAACGCCGAAUGGGAAAAUUUGUUCCCAUCCCUUAUAUUUAUGCUGAUAAAUAAUGAAAAAUAUGAAAUAAAGUUGUCCAAAAAUAUGGAACAGUUCUUCAUGCAUGAAAGUAUGUGAAAAGAUUAUAUAUAUAUUACGGGUUGUUUAGUUAAAACAUACCCUUUAGUUCUGUAGGAUCGCGACAUAUUUAUCCACAUCUCACUUUGCUUAUUUUAUCUAACUACUACUCGUAAUCUAUUGACUACAUAAUAUGUUUGUACUUUGUAUCAAACAUAUACAAAACUUGUAUGGAACUUGCUAAUCUGUUAUAACAUUGAAAUAUAUUUGGUUGUGUAGUAAUAACAGUUUUUCUGCAGUGGGAACAUAUGUUCCCAGUCGGCAUUAAUGGGUUAAGUUCAUGUAAAUUUACACUGGAAAAGUAAUUUUCUCUCGCUUCUCCAUUCCUUAGUCAAUGGAGUCUCUAAGUAAAGAAGUUCUAUCCAAGAUAAAGAAAUAACCUGAAGGGAAGGGUAUAUUUCAUUCAAGUAUUAUUAUUUAUUUAAUUUGUUACAUUUUUAAGUAGUUAAAUUUGGCUAUUGGAACCGUUGUCUACGAUGAUGGAUGAAAGUUUGUUCAUGAUAGACGUUGACAGCUGUUAAAAUUUAUAAUUAAUUAUUUAUAAAUAUUACUACAUUUAUAACUUAUGGGGUCAAUCAGCUUUCUUCAUUGUAAAUAUGAAUGUUUCUUCUUGAUGUGAAUCUCCAUCAGACGGGACUUUGUUGGUACAUUUAUUGUACACUUGGGAGUAACGGCAAUCUCUCUUUCGAUGCUUUAAUGGUUACCUGGAUUGGAUUCAAAUUUUGUUAAAUAAACAUUAUUUAUGACAAAAGUGGAUCAUUCUUAAAAAAAUAUUUUUCUUUUUAACAAUAACAAAAGAUAACAAUAGUUGUGAGCAAUUAAUAUUGGAAGAAUUUCUAGAAAUAUAUCUAUUGUUUUCAAGAAGAUUAAUAUACUUCAAGGCAACUCAAAGAGAAGAUGAAUUUACUUCAGAAGAAGAUUAGAUAUUUUCGAAAAUGAAGGUGACGUAAAGAAAAUGUCUAUUGAACAGUUAUAUAUUUUUGAUGCAUUGUUGCCUCGAAUAACAACGAAUUGAGACAAGAAUAUCUCAAGGUAGGCGGAGAUUUAACAAAAAAGACAUUGAAGAAAAUUACUAAAUCUUACGAAGCAAGAGGAAUUAAUGAAAGGGAAGGGAAGUCAUAAGGUGUUCAAAACUCUAUUAAUGCUGUUCGAAGAGGAAGAAAAUUUGAAAAGGUAACAUUAAUAGAUUUGGUAAUUUAAAAGGAGAUCGACGAUAUACCAACAACCUAAACGAUACAAGUGGCACGUCUAGGUCAAAAGGUUGUACUUGUCGUGGAGUGUUAGACCACAGGCUUGAGGUUUGCUAUUAUAGUUUUAAUCUCAUUUCUUCGAAUUACAACAAAAAGGGACAUAUAAUGAAAAUUUGUCGUCUACCUAGAAGGGACUAGAAGAUUAGUUCAACUUUUAUUGGGAAUAUGUUGAAUGCAUACGACGAAGAUACUCCAAAAGUUAAUGUUUUUGUGAAUCAUAUCCACAUCAAACAAUUUCAAUUUAAAGCUUUACCAUAUACUGGAUCACCAAUCACAAUUAUUUCUAAGAAUAUUGUUGAUAAAUAUAGUAUUCAAUGGAAUAAAUCUUAUCAUCCCAAUUUAAUGGUAACAUCAGAAAAGUUACAACCCUUAAAGUCCAUAGAGAAGAGGUGAAUUAACCCUCAGUUGGAUAACUUGUCAAAGACUUGCAAUAAUUUCGAAAGAUUUCCCGAUGUUAUCUUGUAACACCAUCGAAAUUAAAUGAAAAUCUAAGCUCAACAAUUUAAUCCCAAAAAAAUAACGGAGUAUUUAAUUGUGAGAAAUCAAAGCCUAUGACUGGUCCUACGAUAAAAAUUCUACAUUAGAUUGUAAAAUGGGUUAUUUUCAUUUUUAACAACAUUUAACACAACCCGAGGAAAAUUCCGAUAUUGUCUAGCUCCGCUGGGUCUUUGUAAUUCUAACAAUGAAUUUUUUGCAAGGACAGACGCUGUUUUAUGUGCAAUCAAGAAUGUAAAGAAGAUUGUGGAUGAUAUUUUGAUAUCUGGCGAAAAUGAAGAUGAAGUUUAACAAAAGGUGGAAGAAGUAGUCGGACGUUCUGAGAAGAACAAUGUUACCUCAUCAAAAGAUAAAAUUCAAUAUGAAACAAAAAUGAAAUUUGUAGGUAUGCUCAUAUCUGGUGAAGGUAUCGAGACAGAUCCCGAAAAACAUGAUGGAAUUAUGAAGUUUCCAAAGCCAAAAAAUCUUACUGAAUUAAGAUCAUUUAUUGGACUCGCCAAUCAAUUAGUUCUAACAUAAAUGUAUGAUGGUUUACUUUUUAGUAUGAAAAUUAUAUUUAAUUUAAGCCUUCUGUUUUAAACUUGGAACUUACAAUAUAUUUUGAAAUACUCUA
rnacentral:lncRNA from 1 species